UUUAGGAAAUGCAUCCCACUCUUCUCUUAGUGUCUUCUACUGCAGGACCAUCAUUUUAUCCAUGUUUGGGAAAUAUCCAUCACUGCUGGGGGAAAGGGACUUCUCCUCCUGAGUGAAGACUGUGGGAUCUGACUUGAAGCAAGACAAGAGAAGCAAAGCCUCUGUGUGAACGUGGCAGAAUAGAAAAAAAGUCAUGUACAAAGCAAGGGGAAGAAUUCAGGCUGGUUUCAACUCAGGAUCAAACCCUUUAUAACGCUGGACUGAGGGGGGUCUGUUUCCUCAUCCUACUGCUUUUCCAGAAUCCACAGUGUAUGUUCCUGCAGGAAUGCUCAGCCCUCGUCCUGCCCAGGCGGGCGCAUCCAGCCCAGGGUGUUCUCUGGCUCCAGUUUAAAUCCUGCAAUCCCUGUCAGCCGUGGGCUCGCUCACUCUGAGCCCUCUCUCUUGCCUGGCUC